AGCACAGAAAAACAAACAAAUGGAUGGGAAAACUAUGAGUUGUUUUUUCAUUUUGUUUUUGUUUCUAGGAUAUUACACUCAAGCUGGUACACUCUUUCGCUCCCUCUCCUACUCUCAUCUCUCCUACAAUCGGUGCUUGAGAAAUCUAACAUCUUUCUACUGAUGCCUUCCUUUUUUGUGUAAAUACACAGAUGCUUACCUUUUCAUAGAGAACUGCCGAGGCCAUCUUAUUGGAGACUUGACAUGCACGAAGUGGUCAUGCUGGGGGGAUUGUAUAAAAUAUUAUUUUGGAAAGAAAAUUAAGGAAUCUUAUUGUAUCCGCAAGUCCACAUCUCGCUAUUGCGUAUGUGUCAUAUGUGACUAGAAAUACAAUAUGGUUAUCGAUGCAUAUACCAUCAAGUGUCUGAAUAAAUUUAUAUAAGUAAUAAACUUCAUAAUAUAUGUUCAUCAAAUGUCAUAUUAAUCCAUGGUGUUGUUUUAUAUCAUUUAUAUGCCUUGUGUAAUCUCAUACUAGUCGAAUCAUUAAAUAAAGUAGUGUUCGAAAU
rnacentral:lncRNA from 1 species